CUGGAAUUGUCAUUGUUGAUGAUGCUGUGGAGUUAGGUAUAUUUCUAACUUAUAUCGACCACGCUACAGACAUCCCAACAUGCAAAAAAGCAUUUCAGGGAGGUUGCUUCACCAGCUACUGUGUCCCCGUUCCCCACUCACACACACACAUACACACACAGAAACCAAAAUUGUAUGAACAUCAUGACACACAGAUACACGCACUGGCACAUGCACACACAUUCAGAUACACCCUGACACACAGAUACACACAUUGAAGCACACACUCAGCUACACACACUGGCACAAACACAGGCACACACUCAAAUACACACUGACACACAGAUACAG